AGGGCGCACGGUGGAUGCCUUGGCACUAGAAGCCGAUGAAGGACGUUACUAACGACGAUAUGCUUUGGGGAGCUGUAAGUAAGCUUUGAUCCAGAGAUUUCCGAAUGGGGAAACCCAGCAUGAGUUAUGUCAUGUUAUCGAUAUGUGAAUACAUAGCAUAUCAGAAGGCACACCCGGAGAACUGAAACAUCUUAGUACCCGGAGGAAGAGAAAGAAAAUUCGAUUCCCUUAGUAGCGGCGAGCGAAACGGGAAGAGCCCAAACCAACAAGCUUGCUUGUUGGGGUUGUAGGACACUCUAUACGGAGUUACAAAGGACGACAUUAGACGAAUCAUCUGGAAAGAUGAAUCAAAGAAGGUAAUAAUCCUGUAGUCGAAAAUGUUGUCUCUCUUGAGUGGAUCCUGAGUACGACGGAGCACGUGAAAUUCCGUCGGAAUCUGGGAGGACCAUCUCCUAAGGCUAAAUACUCUCUAGUGACCGAUAGUGAACCAGUACCGUGAGGGAAAGGUGAAAAGCACCCCGGAAGGGGAGUGAAAUAGAACCUGAAACCGUGUGCUUACAAGUAGUCAGAGCCCGUUAAUGGGUGAUGGCGUGCCUUUUGUAGAAUGAACCGGCGAGUUACGAUUUGAUGCAAGGUUAAGCAGUAAAUGUGGAGCCGUAGCGAAAGCGAGUCUGAAUAGGGCGUUUAGUAUUUGGUCGUAGACCCGAAACCAGGUGAUCUACCCUUGGUCAGGUUGAAGUUCAGGUAACACUGAAUGGAGGACCGAACCGACUUACGUUGAAAAGUGAGCGGAUGAACUGAGGGUAGCGGAGAAAUUCCAAUCGAACCUGGAGAUAGCUGGUUCUCUCCGAAAUAGCUUUAGGGCUAGCCUCAAGUGAUGAUUAUUGGAGGUAGAGCACUGUUUGGACGAGGGGCCCCUCUCGGGUUACCGAAUUCAGACAAACUCCGAAUGCCAAUUAAUUUAACUUGGGAGUCAGAACAUGGGUGAUAAGGUCCGUGUUCGAAAGGGAAACAGCCCAGACCACCAGCUAAGGUCCCAAAAUAUAUGUUAAGUGGAAAAGGAUGUGGCGUUGCCCAGACAACUAGGAUGUUGGCUUAGAAGCAGCCAUCAUUUAAAGAGUGCGUAAUAGCUCACUAGUCGAGUGACACUGCGCCGAAAAUGUACCGGGGCUAAACAUAUUACCGAAGCUGUGGAUUGUCCUUUGGACAAUGGUAGGAGAGCGUUCUAAGGGCGUUGAAGCAUGAUCGCAAGGACAUGUGGAGCGCUUAGAAGUGAGAAUGCCGGUGUGAGUAGCGAAAGACGGGUGAGAAUCCCGUCCACCGAUUGACUAAGGUUUCCAGAGGAAGGCUCGUCCGCUCUGGGUUAGUCGGGUCCUAAGCUGAGGCCGACAGGCGUAGGCGAUGGAUAACAGGUUGAUAUUCCUGUACCACCUAUAAUCGUUUUAAUCGAUGGGGGGACGCAGUAGGAUAGGCGAAGCGUGCGAUUGGAUUGCACGUCUAAGCAGUAAGGCUGAGUAUUAGGCAAAUCCGGUACUCGUUAAGGCUGAGCUGUGAUGGGGAGAAGACAUUGUGUCUUCGAGUCGUUGAUUUCACACUGCCGAGAAAAGCCUCUAGAUAGAAAAUAGGUGCCCGUACCGCAAACCGACACAGGUAGUCAAGAUGAGAAUUCUAAGGUGAGCGAGCGAACUCUCGUUAAGGAACUCGGCAAAAUGACCCCGUAACUUCGGGAGAAGGGGUGCUCUUUAGGGUGCAAGCCCAGAAGAGCCGCAGUGAAUAGGCCCAAGCGACUGUUUAUCAAAAACACAGGUCUCUGCUAAACCGUAAGGUGAUGUAUAGGGGCUGACGCCUGCCCGGUGCUGGAAGGUUAAGAGGAGUGGUUAGCUUCUGCGAAGCUACGAAUCGAAGCCCCAGUAAACGGCGGCCGUAACUAUAACGGUCCUAAGGUAGCGAAAUUCCUUGUCGGGUAAGUUCCGACCCGCACGAAAGGCGUAACGAUUUGGGCACUGUCUCAACGAGAGACUCGGUGAAAUCAUAGUACCUGUGAAGAUGCAGGUUACCCGCGACAGGACGGAAAGACCCCGUGGAGCUUUACUGUAGCCUGAUAUUGAAAUUCGGCACAGCUUGUACAGGAUAGGUAGGAGCCUUUGAAACGUGAGCGCUAGCUUACGUGGAGGCGCUGGUGGGAUACUACCCUAGCUGUGUUGGCUUUCUAACCCGCACCACUUAUCGUGGUGGGAGACAGUGUCAGGCGGGCAGUUUGACUGGGGCGGUCGCCUCCUAAAAGGUAACGGAGGCGCUCAAAGGUUCCCUCAGAAUGGUUGGAAAUCAUUCAUAGAGUGUAAAGGCAUAAGGGAGCUUGACUGCGAGACCUACAAGUCGAGCAGGGUCGAAAGACGGACUUAGUGAUCCGGUGGUUCCGCAUGGAAGGGCCAUCGCUCAACGGAUAAAAGCUACCCCGGGGAUAACAGGCUUAUCUCCCCCAAGAGUUCACAUCGACGGGGAGGUUUGGCACCUCGAUGUCGGCUCAUCGCAUCCUGGGGCUGUAGUCGGUCCCAAGGGUUGGGCUGUUCGCCCAUUAAAGCGGUACGCGAGCUGGGUUCAGAACGUCGUGAGACAGUUCGGUCCCUAUCCGUCGUGGGCGUAGGAAAUUUGAGAGGAGCUGUCCUUAGUACGAGAGGACCGGGAUGGACAUACCUCUGGUGUACCAGUUGUCGUGCCAACGGCAUAGCUGGGUAGCUAUGUGUGGACGGGAUAAGUGCUGAAAGCAUCUAAGCAUGAAGCCCCCCUCAAGAUGAGAUUUCCCAACUUCGGUUAU
rnacentral:rRNA from 1 species